GAAAUGGAGCUGCACGACCUGCUUUCGAAUGAGAACGGACCACCCCACUCAUCUCCCACCAUCCAGCUUUUGUUUGUACAUUUCCUUAACUCUUCUCAUU
ensembl:ncRNA H21P03.11 ncRNA